rnacentral:rRNA from 1 species
CCUACGGGUGGCAGCAGUGGGGAAUAUUGGACAAUGGGGGCAACCCUGAUCCAGCCAUGCCGCGUGUGUGAAGAAGGCCCUCGGGUUGUAAAGCACUUUCAGUGAGGAAGAACGCCUGGUGGUUAAUACCCAUCAGGAAAGACAUCACUCACAGAAGAAGCACCGGCUAACUCCGUGCCAGCAGCCGCGGUAAUACGGAGGGUGCGAGCGUUAAUCGGAAUUACUGGGCGUAAAGCGCGCGUAGGUGGCUUGAUAAGCCGGUUGUGAAAGCCCCGGACUCAACCUGGGAACGGCAUCCGGAACUGUCAAGCUAGAGUGCAGGAGAGGAAGGUAGAAUUCCCGGUGUAGCGGUGAAAUGCGUAGAGAUCGGGAGGAAUACCAGUGGCGAAGGCGGCCUUCUGGACUGACACUGACACUGAGGUGCGAAAGCGUGGGUAGCAAACAGGAUUAGAUACCCGAGUAGUC